GUUCCAUGUGAACAGCAGUUGAACAUGGGUCAGUCGGUCCUGAGAGAUGGGCGAACGCCGUUCGGAAGGGCGGCGCGAUGGUCUACGUCGCCCCCGGCAAAUCGAAAGGGAGCUGGGUUCAGAUUCCCGGACCUAGAGUGGCGGAGACGCAAACGAUUCUGGAGAAGCUGGCGGGAGCCCCGGGAAGAGUUCUCUUUGUGAAGGGCAGGGCGCCGUGGAACGGAUUUUCGCAUAUAGUGUCUAAAUAGUUGGAAAAUGUCUUCCUGCACAUUUGCACCGAGCCUCCAUUUAUCACCGGAAUUUUGCUACUUUGUA
rnacentral:ncRNA from 1 species